GUUAGCGGCGGACGGGUGAGUAACACGUGGGUAACCUGCCUGUAAGACUGGGAUAACUCCGGGAAACCGGAGCUAAUACCGGAUAGUUCCUUGAACCGCAUGGUUCAAGGAUGAAAGACGGUUUCGGCUGUCACUUACAGAUGGACCCGCGGCGCAUUAGCUAGUUGGUGGGGUAAUGGCUCACCAAGGCGACGAUGCGUAGCCGACCUGAGAGGGUGAUCGGCCACACUGGGACUGAGACACGGCCCAGACUCCUACGGGAGGCAGCAGUAGGGAAUCUUCCGCAAUGGACGAAAGUCUGACGGAGCAACGCCGCGUGAGUGAUGAAGGUUUUCGGAUCGUAAAGCUCUGUUGUUAGGGAAGAACAAGUGCGAGAGUAACUGCUCGCACCUUGACGGUACCUAACCAGAAAGCCACGGCUAACUACGUGCCAGCAG
rnacentral:rRNA from 1 species